CUAGGCUGUGACCUUCACAAGAGUUUCUUACUUUUCUUUCUCUCUCCCUUUCUUUAGAUGAGAUAGGGAGUCUAGAGGGGGCUGCUGUUGGGCCCAGUGGAUUCUCAAGAUGAAAUUCCUGCCAUAAUUGCUGACUUCAGCUCCUCAGAGCUAUAGACUGGCUUGACCCGGAAACUCUACUGUGGGUCACAUCUUCUCCACUGGUCUGGCUCCUGUACAGUGUGGCUUGGUCUGGUUUGAGUGCAGAGGUACAUUUGAAUGGAAGCCUCCCAUAAAUGAUUUUUAUGAUGGCAGCCAACUUGAGGAAUUUUUGAGAGCUGAGAAUGUUCUUUGAGUCAUUCUGGGGAAUCGUGAUGGGAUGCAUUCUAUUUUGUACCUCCAGGUGAAUAAGCUGGCUUUCUCAAGGUGUUGAAAUGGGACACUUCCAUGACAACUUGCUUACACCUCUCCUGGGUACUUCUCUAAGAUCAUGAAAAUCUCAACCUGAAAUGUGACCUUUUGCACAAAUUCAAGAAAUUUUUAUUGAGCUUCUUACUCCAUGCCAGGAACUGUUAUAGCCCUAGGAAUGCAACAAGAAACAAGGCAGAUAAAAGAAAGACAACCCUACUAUGGAGAGGAAAUUAGCUACAGAUAUUAAAAGGCCGAGUACAGCUUCUUUGAGCCAUGAGCUUUCUAGCAGAUAUUUAUGAUUUGAUCCUAUGCAAAUGUGAAACGUCUGUGGACAGGCUGCUUUAAAGAUCACUACUAGCCCAGCAACUGCAAAAAUGUUGAAAACAGCACUUUAAGUACUUUGUGUUUGAUGUUAAGUUAUUGCUAAUUUUUUGGAUCUGGGGAAGUUCCAUUUCCAGAAAUCAGAUACAGUAUUAUAAGAACACAAGGGAAUCAUUUCCAGCACUAUUUAUAUAAAUGUAAGGAUUCAACACAAAUGCAAAUUAAAAACUGCCUCCUUAGA